AGAGUUUGAUCCUGGCUCAGAUUGAACGUUGGCGGCAGGCCUCAUACAUGCAAGUCGAACGAGAAAGGCCCUUUCGGGGGCCGAGUAGAGUGGCGGACGGGUGAGUAACGCGUAGGAAUCCACCCGGCAGUGGGGGAUAACCCGGGGAAACUCGGGCUAAUACCGCAUGUCGAGCGUCGGCGCAGAGCCGGCGCUGAAAGCGGGGGAUCUCGCGCACGGCUUCGGCCGAAGGCGGAGACCUCGUGCUGUCGGAGGAGCCUGCGUUGGAUUAGCUUGUUGGUGGGGUAAUGGCCUACCAAGGCGACGAUCCAUAGCUGGUCUGAGAGGACGAUCAGCCACACUGGGACUGAGACACGGCCCAGACGUCUACGGACGGCAGCAGUAGGGAAUCUUGCACAAUGGGCGAAAGCCUGAUGCAGCCAUGCCGCGUGUGUGAAGAAGGCCUUAGGGUUGUAAAGCACUUUCAGUGGUGAAGAAAAUGUCGGCGCUAAUACCGCCGGCCCCUGACGUUAGCCACAGAAGAAGCACCGGCCAACUCCGUGCCAGCAGCCGCGGUAAAUACGGAGGGUGCGAACGUUUACUCGGAAUUACUGGGCGUAAAGCGCGCGUAGGCGGCUCGUUUAGUGAGGUGUGACAGCCCCGGGCUCAACCUGGGGAACUGCACUUUCAAACUGGCGAG
rnacentral:rRNA from 1 species